CUGUCUUUCAGUCUGUCUUUGGAUGAGACUCAGAUCUGGAGGCAGCAUUAACACGCAAGACGACGAGACCCAUCGAUGGGAAGACAAAGAAGUAUGCCCAAUGUGCCCGCAGUAUACAGUCAGUAUAAAAUUGGGCCUCCUGUGGACAGAUAUUACCCUCUCCAAUCUUGGAUAAAGAGAGGACCUAGGACAUCAACAUGAUGGAUUCCAGGGCUACAACCGAAAUCUGCUCAAAACGGACCACUUUGAUCUACUUUGUAUUGCGUAAUGAUAUCGUGUUGAUCCGGGGACAUCGGACUUCAACGUGAUGGGUUCCAGAGCCGUGACCGAAGCCUGCUGAAAACAGACUUCUUUGGUCUACUCUUUCUGC